rnacentral:rRNA from 1 species
UACGUAGGGGGCAAGCGUUAUCCGGAUUUACUGGGUGUAAAGGGAGCGUAGACGGCGAAGAAAGUCUGAAGUGAAAGCCCGCGGCUCAACCGCGGAAUGGCUUUGGAAACUUUUUUGCUGGAGUACCGGAGAGGUAAGCGGAAUUCCUGGUGUAGCGGUGAAAUGCGUAGAUAUCAGGAGGAACACCGGUGGCGAAGGCGGCCUGCUGGACUGCAACUGACGUUGAGGCCCGAAAGCGUGGGGAGCAAACAGG